rnacentral:lncRNA from 1 species
GUAAUGGUAUUCCAUAUCUUUUUAAAAAUGUUCAACCUAAUAUUUGUUUGCAUUUCGGUUCACCACCCCAUUGUAUUCUUACCCGCCCGCAUGGAAUUGUAUCCCACGUUUCUCUCCGGUCGUUCGCUAGGCAAUCGAGUCCGAGCGCGGUCGCGGUCGUGGGUAAUGAUCAUGUCCCUGGGCGGCUGUGUUCGCGCUGUUCGCACGCGGUGUAUCCCUGUAACCGACACCGCCCAGGCAUCGUUUCAUAUCAAAGUUAUUGUCAUAAAUAUGAAGGCCAGUGUUUGACAUCUGUGUUACGGAUUUUGUUUUUUUUUGGCGUGGCACGCUUCCGGAGGUGUAUAGGGAGUGGCCGACGAGCCGCUUCGCGGCAGUUUCAUCUCUAAACCCUGAAAACCCAACCCCAACCCCCUAAAGACGCGGCGCGGACCCUAAAGAUAAAGCGUGCCGCUUGUUACUCGCGCGUCAGCGGCUACAUGAGACCCUAAAGAUACAGCGCGCCGCUUGUUACUCGCGCGUCAGCGGCUACAUGAGCGCGCAUCUUGCUCAUGUAAAAAACCGCUCGUGGCAGCGCGUGGCACGCAUCAGGAUCUAUACGGGGAAAUUAACUCAAGGAUGACUUGUCCUGCCCCGGGGCCAAAAACAAAUCCGUAACACACGUGCGUGUUAAAAAUGUUCUCCUUUGAUCGACGUGCAGAAUAUAUUAAGGUUACGGUUUUUUUUCCGCCGGGGCGGGACUGGUAAUCCUUGAGUUGAUUUUCCCGUAUAGAUCUUGAGGCGUGCCACGCGCUGACAGGAGCGGUUAUUUACACGAGCAAGAUGCGCGCUCAUGUAGCCGCUGACGCGCGAGUAACAAGCGGCGCGCUGUAUCUUUAGGGUUCGCGCCGUGUCUUUAAGGGGUGGGGGUUGGGUUUUCAGGGUUUAGAGUUCAAACAGCCGCGAAGCGGCUCGUCGGCCACUCCCUAUAUACAUCCUGAAGCGUGCCACGCGCUGCCGGGGGGUCGUUCACAAAAUACAGGCAUCGCCUUCAUUCGAAACCUUCGAAACCUUGCUUAUGAGAAGGUACAGCCGAUUUAAUAAGGCUAAUAAUAAUAUUGUAUAUGUAAGCUUCGUACGAAAGAAGGUACGAAGCAAGCAAGGUACCUUCAAGGUAUCUAUAUACAGUCAUAUACACAUGGUAGAGGAUUUGUACGGAUGCUCCGUCGGCACUAAAAGCUGUACGAAGGUAGACUACGAACCUUCGUACCUUCGUAGUAGUCAAGAGUCACUGUAUGUGCAGCACUGAUAAAAUUCAUUUUCAACCAGCAGCAUUUGAAUGGGCACGUGUGCUGCGGGUGGACUGGAAAAUUCAUUGGAUGACGUGGCGGGAAAUGGUUGGCCGGAAAAAACAAAGGAUACACCAAAAACUAUUCGUGCAAGCCUCCGCACAAGGGCUCUGCGUGUACACUUAACCGCCCUGUAGUCACAUCGGAAGAACCGAAUCUUCAGAUAUAAGAUGAGCGGAUUCUCCCAGAUCCGAGUUGGCGCAUCGGUGCGCAAUUCAUCUCGACUGACUUGGUCUGAUGCCACUCGUCGUACUUGCUCCCCAAGCUCGAAGGCUGCGGACGUCGACCUCGCGCCACCGACCAAACGUGUGCCCCCCAAACUUCCCGACGGUGGGUGAUUCAAUUUGCCCGGAGUGAAACCAAGCUUCUUUUGAAUGCGUAUGCAUCGUUGCGGACUGCAACUUACCUCUCGGAGCGCUGUUAGGAACGCCGAUUGUGCCGCCUCAAGACCUCGCUUCGCGCCCACGCCGCAACCGCCGAAGCGCAACUGUCCGAGAGGCCUUUCGUGAGGUGUGUCCUAUACUCAUCUGUUCCCCGGGAAAAGUGGCCUUGAUCAUGAGCAUACAUCUCUUGUCAAAACAACUAACCCAGACUGCUCCA